rnacentral:rRNA from 1 species
ACCCGCUGAACUUAAGCAUAUCAAUAAGCGGAGGAAAAGAAACCAACAGGGAUUGCCCUAGUAACGGCGAGUGAAGCGGCAACAGCUCAAAUUUGAAAUCUGGCCCUCGGGUCCGAGUUGUAAUUUGUAGAGGAUGCUUUUGGCGCGGUGCCUUUCGAGUUCCUUGGAACAGGACGCCUUAGAGGGUGAGAGCCCCGUACGAUUGGACACCUAGCCUCUGUAAAGCUCCUUCGACGAGUCGAGUAGUUUGGGAAUGCUGCUCUAAAUGGGAGGUAAAUUUCUUCUAAAGCUAAAUACCGGCCAGAGACCGAUAGCGCACAAGUAGAGUGAUCGAAAGAUGAAAAGUACUUUGAAAAGAGGGUUAAAUAGCACGUGAAAUUGUUGAAAGGGAAGCGUUUGUGACCAGACCUUGGCCGGGCGGAUCAUCCGGUGUUCCUCACCGGUGCACUUCGCCCGGCCUAGGCCAGCAUCGGUUUUCGUAGGGGGAUAAAGGCCCCGGGAACGUAGCUCCCUCCGGGGAGUGUUAUAGCCCGGGACGCAAUACCCCUGCGGGGACCGAGGUUCGCGCUCCGGCAAGGAUGCUGGCGUAAUGGUCAUCAACGACCCGUCUUGAACACGGACC